rnacentral:rRNA from 1 species
UACGAAGGGGGCUAGCGUUGUUCGGAAUCACUGGGCGUAAAGCGCACGCAGGCGGAUUGAUAAGUCAGGGGUGAAAUCCCGGGGCUCAACCUCGGAAUUGCCUUUGAUACUGUCUGUCUUGAGUUCGGGAGAGGUUGGCGGAAUUCCUAGUGUAGAGGUGAAAUUCGUAGAUAUUAGGAAGAACACCAGUGGCGAAGGCGGCCAACUGGCCCGAUACUGACGCUCAUGUGCCGAAAGCGUGGGGAGCAAACAGGG